AACGUAGGAGGCAAGCGUUAUCCGGAUUCACUGGGCGUAAAGCGCGUGCAGGCGGUUCGGUAAGUUGGAUGUGAAAUCUCCUGGCUCAACUGGGAGAGGACGUUCAAUACUGUCGGACUAGAGGAUGGUAGAGGGAGGUGGAAUUCCCGGUGUAGUGGUGAAAUGCGUAGAUAUCGGGAGGAACACCAGUGGCGAAGGCGGCCUCCUGGGCCAUUCCUGACGCUAAGACGCGAAGGCUAGGGUAGCGAACGGG
rnacentral:rRNA from 1 species